UCAGUAACACGUCGUUAACCUAACCUAAAGUCUGGGAUAGCCUUGGGAAACUGAGGGUAAACCCGGAUAGGGAAAUUCUUCUGGAAUGAUUUUUUCCUUAAAAGCAAUGCUUUGGGAUGGGACGGCGGCUGAUUAGGCUGUUGGCGGGGUAACGGCCCACCAAACCGAUGAUCAGUAUGGGCCCUGGAAGGGGGCGCCCAGAGAGGGGCACUGAAAUACUGGCCCCAGCCCUAAGGGGUGCAGCAGGCGCGGAAACUUUACAAUGCACGAAAGUGCGAUAAGGGAACUUCAAGUGCUCAUGUUCUACAUGAGCUUUUUGCCAAAGGCAAGGUCUUUGGCGAAUAAGUGGUGGGUAAGACUGGUGCCAGCCGCCGCGGUAACCCCAGCGCCACAAGUGGGAGCCACGAUUAUUGGGCCUAAAGCGUCCGUAGCCGGCCUGUCAAAUCUCUUGUGAAAUCGACUUGCUCAACCUGUCGGCGAGCAGGAGACACUAACAGGCUAGGGACUGGGAGGAGUCAGAGGUAUUCCUUGGGGAGCGGUAAAAUGUGAUAAUCCUUGGAAGACCACCUGUGGUGAAGGCGUCUGACUAGAACAGCUCCGACGGUGAGGGACGAAAGCCAGGGGAGCAAAACGGAUUAGAUACCCGAGUAGUCCUGGCCGUAAACUCUGUGAGCUAGGUGUUGCGCAUUCUUAGAGAUUGCGCAGUGUCAAAAUGAAGGUGUUAAGCUCACCGCCUGGGAAGUAUGGUCGCAAGGCUGAAACUUAAAGGAAUUGGCGGGGGAGCACCACAAGGGGUGCGGCGUGCGGUUUAAUCCGACUCAACGCGCAAAAUCUUACCAGGAACGACGGCAGGAUGAAAGUCAGUCUAAAGGGCUUACUUGACGAGCCGAGAGGUAGUGCAUGGCCGUCGCCAGCUCGUGCCGUGAGGUGUCCUCUUAAGUGAGGUAACGAGCGAGACCUGUACCUACAGUUGCUAUCGAGCUCUGCGUUCGGGCACACUGUAGGGACUGCCUUGGAGACAAGGAGGAAGGUGCAGGCUACGGUAGGUCUGUAUGCUCCGAAUUCCCUGGGCUACACGCGCGCAACAAUGGUUGGGACAAUGGGAUGCAACUCCGAAAGGAGGAGCUAAACCUCAAAACCCAAUCCAAGUACGGAUCGAGGGCUGGAACUCGCCCUCGUGACGUUGGAAUCCCUAGUAAUCGGGGGUCAUCAUCUCCCAGUGAAUGUGUCCCUGCUCCUUGCACACACCGCCCGUCAAACCAACCGAGCAGGCUAUAGAUGAGUCUAGUUUUCAUUGAACUAGCCGAAUCUACAGUCAGUGAGGUGGGUUAAGUCGUCACAAGGUA
rnacentral:rRNA from 1 species